ACUGCUCAGUAACACGUGGACAACCUGCCCUUAGGUUGGGGAUAAACCCGGGAAACUGGGUAUAAUACCCGAUAGGUCUCGAUUGCUGGAAUGCAUCGAGAUUUAAAGCUCCGGCGCCUAAGGAUGGGUCUGCGGCCUAUCAGGUAGUAGUGGGUGUAGCGUACCUACUAGCCUACGACGGGUACGGGUUGUGAGAGCAAGAGCCCGGAGAUGGAUUCUGAGACACGAAUCCAGGCCCUACGGGGUGCAGCAGGCGCGAAAACUUUACAAUGCUGGCAACAGCGAUAAGGGAACCUCGAGUGCCAGGUUACAAAUCUGGCUGUCGAGAUGCCUAAAAAGCAUUUCAUAGCAAGGGCCGGGCAAGACCGGUGCCAGCCGCCGCGGUAACACCGGCGGCUCGAGUGGUAACCGUUAUUAUUGGGUCUAAAGGGUCUGUAGCCGGCCGGAUAAGUCUCUUGAGAAAUCUGGCAGCUUAACUGUCAGGCUUUCAGGAGAUACUGUCUGGCUCGAGGCCGGGAGAGGUGAGAGGUACUUCAGGGGUAGGGGUGAAAUCUUGUAAUCCUUGAAGGACCACCAGUGGCGAAGGCGUCUCACCAGAACGGACCUGACGGCAAGGGACGAAAGCUAGGGGCACGAACCGGAUUAGAUACCCGGGUAGUCCUAGCCGUAAACGAUACUCGCUAGGUGUCGGCCACGGUGCGACCGUUGUCGGUGCCGUAGGGAAGCCGUGAAGCGAGCCACCUGGGAAGUACGGCCGCAAGGCUGAAACUUAAAGGAAUUGGCGGGGGAGCAC
rnacentral:rRNA from 1 species